rnacentral:tRNA from 1 species
GCCAGUUAGCUCAGUCGGUAGAGCACUCGCUCUAUAAGCGCGGGGUCCCGGGUUCGAGCCCCGGACUAAAUG